rnacentral:rRNA from 1 species
ACGGGUGAGUGACGCGUGGGAACAUACCCUUUUCUACGGAAUAGCUCUGGGAAACUGGAAUUAAUACCGUAUACGCCCUACGGGGGAAAGAUUUAUCGGGGAAGGAUUGGCCCGCGUUGGAUUAGCUAGUUGGUGGGGUAAAGGCCUACCAAGGCGACGAUCCAUAGCUGGUCUGAGAGGAUGAUCAGCCACAUUGGGACUGAGACACGGCCCAAACUCCUACGGGAGGCAGCAGUGGGGAAUAUUGGACAAUGGGCGCAAGCCUGAUCCAGCCAUGCCGCGUGAGUGAUGAAGGCCUUAGGGUUGUAAAGCUCUUUCACCGAUGAAGAUAAUGACGGUAGUCGGAGAAGAAGCCCCGGCUAACUUCGUGCCAGCAGCCGCGGUAAUACGAAGGGGGCUAGCGUUGUUCGGAAUUACUGGGCGUAAAGCGCACGUAGGCGGAUAUUUAAGUCAGGGGUGAAAUCCCAGAGCUCAACUCUGGAACUGCCUUUGAUACUGGGUAUCUUGAGUAUGGAAGAGGUAAGUGGAAUUGCGAGUGUAGAGGUGAAAUUCGUAGA